CGGAGGGAUCAUUACAGAGUUGAAAAACUCCAACCCCUGUGAACCUUACCUCUUUGUUGCUUCGGCGUGCCCUCUGGACGCCGCAGGUCCGCCCCUCACCGGGUGGCCGCGGCGCCCGGCGGUCGGCACGCCGGAGGUUCCAAACUCUGAAUUUAUAGUGUAUCUCUGAGAUUAAAAACAAAUAAUCAAAACUUUCAACAACGGAUCUCUUGGUUCUGGCAUCGAUGAAGAACGCAGCGAAAUGCGAUAAGUAAUGUGAAUUGCAGAAUUCAGUGAAUCAUCGAAUCUUUGAACGCACAUUGCGCCCGCCGGUAUUCCGGCGGGCAUGCCUGUUCGAGCGUCAUUUCACCACUCAAGCCCAGCUUGGUGUUGGGGCACCCGGCCGCCCAGCGGCCCCGGGGCCCCCAAGUCCAUCGGCGGGCUCGUCGGGACCCUGAGCGCAGUAACACGCGGUAAAACGCGCCCUCGCUCGGCGGAUCCAGUCGGGUUCCAGCCGCCAAACCCCCCUAAACUUCUUAGGUUGACCUCGGAUCAGGUAGGAAUACCCGCUGAACUUAAGCAUAUCAAUAAGCGGAGGAAAAGAAACCAACAGGGAUUGCCCUAGUAACGGCGAGUGAAGCGGCAACAGCUCAAAUUUGAAAUCUGGCCCUAGGCCCGAGUUGUAAUUUGCAGAGGAUGCUUUUGGUGAGGUGCUUACCGAGUCCCCUGGAAUGGGGCGCCACAGAGGGUGAGAGCCCCGUAUGGUUUGACGCCGAGCCUCUGUAAAGCUCCUUCGACGAG
rnacentral:rRNA from 1 species